GCCCCUAUAGCUCAAUGGAUAGAGCAGGAGACUUCUAAGCUCUUGAUCUAGGUUCGAUUCCUGGUGGGGGCA
rfam:Parcubacteria bacterium C7867-007 C7867_00057, whole genome shotgun sequence.